AUAUUGGUCAAUGGGUGCAAGCCUGAACCAGCCAUCCCGCGUGAAGGACGACUGCCCUAUGGGUUGUAAACUUCUUUUGUAUAGGGAUAAACCUACCCUCGUGAGGGUAGCUGAAGGUACUAUACGAAUAAGCACCGGCUAACUCCGUGCCAGCAGCCGCGGUAAUACGGAGGGUGCAAGCGUUAUCCGGAUUUAUUGGGUUUAAAGGGUCCGUAGGCGGACUUAUAAGUCAGUGGUGAAAGCCUGUCGCUUAACGAUAGAACUGCCAUUGAUACUGUAAGUCCUGAGUAUAUUUGAGGUAGCUGGAAUAAGGAGUGUAGCGGUGAAAUGCAUAGAUAUUACUUAGAACACCAAUUGCGAAGGCAGGUUACCAAGAUAUAACUGACGCUGAGGGACGAAAGCGUGGGGAGCGAACA
rnacentral:rRNA from 1 species